AUUGAACGCUGGCGGCAGGCCUAACACAUGCAAGUCGGGCGGAUGAAGGGAGCUUGCUCCUGGAUUCAGCGGCGGACGGGUGAGUAAUGCCUAGGAAUCUGCCUGGUAGUGGGGGAUAACGUCCGGAAACGGGCGCUAAUACCGCAUACGUCCUGAGGGAGAAAGUGGGGGAUCUUCGGACCUCACGCUAUCAGAUGAGCCUAGGUCGGACUAGCUAGUUGGUGGGGUAAAGGCCUACCAAGGCGACGAUCCGUAACUGGCCUGAGAGGAUGAUCAGUCACACUGGAACUGAGACACGGUCCAGACUCCUACGGGAGGCAGCAGUGGGGAAUAUUGGACAAUGGGCGAAAGCCUGAUCCAGCCAUGCCGCGUGUGUGAAGAAGGUCUUCGGAUUGUAAAGCACUUUAAGUUGGGAGGAAGGGCAGUAAGUUAAUACCUUGCUGUUUUGACGUUACCAACAGAAUAAGCACCGGCUAACUUCGUG
rnacentral:rRNA from 1 species